UGUUCGUCACCUCCUCUCUUCUCUUGCUCCUCCCUGACUUGGAAUUGGACCUCUAUCAUGAGCGUUAUAUUGAUUUGAUUUACCGGCGGUAUCUCUAUCUCUUGCGCAUGAUGAGAGAGAGAGAGAGAGAGAGAGAGAGAGAGAGAUUUUAAUGUUUUGUUUUCUGUUAGGUGAUUGCGUUAGAACCCUUUUAUGUGCAAGUUGGAAUGUGUAUUUCUGAUAUAAUAUGAGCACUGUCUCAUAUCCCAUUAGAGUCAGAUAGGUACUUGGACACCAUUUAGAUGUUCCAUCCCUGAUUCUAAGCACAUUGAUUUAUUAAUUUCUUUGUCCUCAAUGCUUUCUUGGUCUCCCUAACUAAAUCCUAGGUUGCACGUUGAUGUUUUCUGGUUCUUCUUCUUCUGAUUAUCACAAUCAAAAUUGUUGCAUUGAUGGUUGCUAGAACCGGAAAUAGCAUGAAACUAGAAAAAAAUCUCUGGUUUAGGCAAUGAUUUUUUCUUCCAUUGUUCUUUUUGUUAUCCUUGUGUUCUUCUCCACUCUCCAGUUGGUAUGUUCAGAAAUUUGAUCGUAUUUAUUAUUUUCGCUCUUGCACCCCCAAAUAUCAAUGGAGCUUUCAGCAAGUACAAAUGCCGAUGGUUUUCGCGCUGUGCCCUAUUCUUACGAAAUCUCCUGUGGUUUUGAUGAUAUAGAAUCGGGCUUUAACCCGCCUUUCCCCGUGCCUGAUUAUUUACUUCAACACUUGGUAACUUACUGUUUUGGCAGAUUGUUCCCUUUAGAAAUAGGCGGGCUUUGGUCGCUUCUUUGGUACUUAAAACUGACAUGGCCAUGUAAACAUCUGAAAGGUGCAUAUGUUAUUCUAAGGACUACCAUGUCUAAGUUUCAGAUGCUCGGAGAAGAGAUGGAGUUGUCACAAUCCCACCUGUACUGCCCCUUGUCAUGGCAGCAAAAGUAAACAAGUUGUGAUCAUGUCUGACCAAGGAGGAUCAUCUCAAGGAAAAGGAUCCCAAGGAGAAGGAUCACAAGUGGAUCCGGAAAGGAAGUAUGGAACCAUUGUUGAUAUCAACCAUUGGAAGUGUAUCUUUUGCUACAAGGAUACGCAAGACGCUCGCCUUUUGGCGUCAUGCCUCAUGGCUCUAAGCGCUAUGCUACCACCUCCUCGCCUAAUGUCGUCAUACUCCAUUUCAAACCAAGAGUACAGGUGGGAUUAAGAUGAUAGAAAGUCAUGACUUACUAAUAACCUAAAAAUGAGUGCACAUCCGAUGAUACAUUUCUGUACAGUUCUGACUUCUGGUGUUUGCAAUUUGUGGUUCUCCUUACUUAUGUGAGAUAUCAGUAUGUCAAUACAUGUGUGUUGCCAAAGGUUCGUACUUUUAGAACCGGGCACCAUGAGAAUUUCACAUUAGUAAUUGUUUUUCCUGUACAUUUUUCCUUUUUCAGCCACCAACUGAGAAAUUACAUUAAUCAUGGCAAGAACUUCGAGUUUUGCAAGCAAACAUGGCGGGCAAUCUGAGAUUCUCAUGUUGAGAGCCAAACAAGGAGUCAACCCAACGUUUGGGUUCUUGAUGCCAGAGACCAUCAGCUUCACCCUUACUUUAGGUUUCUUGUUGAACAUCAAGGGCUUUUGACAGGAACGUCUUCUGUAGAAGAUAAAAAAAAUUGAAGAUGGGAAGAAUGGGGGAGCUUUGUCCUUGCUUGGUUCGGUUUAUGGAACUGUAUAAGAUGAAGAUACUAAAAAGAAGAGUCAGCAAGGGGCUGUAAAACAAACGAGUCUGCUGAAGAUGAUGAUUCCAAUGGACCUGAAGGGUCAAGAGAAGCUGCAAAGAUUGCAGCAGUGAGAGAGAUGUAGCCGCUAAGCAGUUUCUUCCGUCAAACGAUCACACACAUUGUAUAGAAAGAAACCCUGAGGAAGCAGAUCAAUACAGUAGAUAAUGCAGCAGAAAAACUUUUGUCUUCUGAAAAAUUGCAAUCUUCCACAAUGCUGGCACAACCCAAGCUUGAACUGCAACUUGUGAAGCCGCCUAUUGAGAUGAAAAGAGCGAUUGAUAAGAUAGUUGACUUCAUCCAGAAGAACGGAAUGUUUCCAUUCUUAGGUCGUAAGGAGAUCUAUUAACCACAGCAAAAAUGUGGAUUAUUCCAAGGAAAAACGUAGCCAUCAUCACAGAUCCAGGAAGCAUGAUAAGCAUAUAUUGAUUCAUCAGAUGAUGACCAUCACCACCGACCCAGAUUCAGUAUACGCAAGCACGAGGACUCGUCAGACGAUGAGCAUGGUCAUAGACACAGUUCUAGUAAACGUACAAAGAAAAGAUGAGAAAACAGUGGAAAACGAGAGUGUUUCAAAGUCUGAUCCUGAAGAUAGCAUGCAAAACUAACCAACUCAAAGUUUCAGAUGAGCUAAGAGCCAAAAUCCGUGCCAUGUUAGCUGAUACCUUGCAAGUUCUUUUGUGAAUUGGUCGGUGAGCAUCUAUCUAUCUAUCUAUCUAGAAGGCAUUAAAGGUCAUGAAAAGCGAUGCCUUUGUGUAAAGGGCCGUCUCUUGAGAUGCUUGGAAGUAGGGAUGAAGUUAAGAGUGUAGUCUCUCACUUUUGUUGACGUAAGAAAGGAACUCUUACAAAGAGAACGUUUUUUAAUGUAUAAUUGUUGUCAGUGUCUUUAGUUGUAUUACUUGAAGCUUACCCUUGUUGGACGGACCUUACUUUACUUAGCCCCUCUUCUCGAUUGCAAAAGGCAUCUUUUUGGGUUCGAAUAUCUCUUUUAAAAACCGU